AGCGAACGCUGGCGGCAGGCCUAACACAUGCAAGUCGAACGAAGUCUUCGGACUUAGUGGCGGACGGGUGAGUAACACGUGGGAACGUGCCUUUAGGUUCGGAAUAACUCAGGGAAACUUGUGCUAAUACCGAAUGUGCCCUUCGGGGGAAAGAUUUAUCGCCUUUAGAGCGGCCCGCGUCUGAUUAGCUAGUUGGUGAGGUAAAGGCUCACCAAGGCGACGAUCAGUAGCUGGUCUGAGAGGAUGAUCAGCCACAUUGGGACUGAGACACGGCCCAAACUCCUACGGGAGGCAGCAGUGGGGAAGCUUGCGCAAUGGGCGAAAGCCUGACGCAGCCAUGCCGCGUGAAUGAUGAAGGUCUUAGGAUUGUAAAAUUCUUUCACCGGGGACGAUAUGACGGUACCCGGAGAAGAAGCCCCGGCUAACUUCGUGCCAGCCGCCGCCGUAA
rnacentral:rRNA from 1 species